rnacentral:rRNA from 1 species
AUUCCAGCUCCAAUAGCGUAUAUUAAAGUUGUUGCAGUUAAAAAGCUCGUAGUUGGAUUUCUGGUUUGAUGCCCUGGCCCGCUGCUAUUUUGGUAGUGUGUGCCGGUUGUGCGUCUGCCAUCCUUCUAGGGAACGUUCCUUCUCUUCACUGAGCCGGGUUCGUGAUCUAGAUCGUUUACUUUGAAAAAAUUAGAGUGUUUAAAGCAGGCUUUUGCUAUGAAUACAUUAGCAUGGAAUAAUAAUCUAGGACUUCGGUCAUAUUUUGUUGGUUUCUGUAACUGAAGUAAGUCUUCAUAGGGACAGUUGGGGGUAUCCGUAUUUCGUAGUCAGAGGUGAAAUUCUUGGAUUUACGAAAGACGAACUACUGCGAAAGCAUUUACCAAGGAUGUUUUCAUUA